rnacentral:rRNA from 1 species
UACGUAGGGGGCAAGCGUUGUCCGGAAUCAUUGGGCGUAAAGAGCGUGUAGGCGGCCCGGUAAGUCCGCUGUGAAAGUCGGGGGCUCAACCCUCGAAUGCCGGUGGAUACUGCCGGGCUAGAGGAUGGUAGAGGCGAGUGGAAUUCCCGGUGUAGCGGUGAAAUGCGCAGAUAUCGGGAGGAACACCAGUAGCGAAGGCGGCUCGCUGGGCCAUACCUGACGCUGAGACGCGAAAGCGUGGGGAGCAAACAGG